UCCGGUGGUUCUGAAUGGAAGGGCCAUCGCUCAACGGAUAAAAGGUACUCCGGGGAUAACAGGCUGAUACCGCCCAAGAGUUCAUAUCGACGGCGGUGUUUGGCACCUCGAUGUCGGCUCAUCACAUCCUGGGGCUGAAGUAGGUCCCAAGGGUAUGGCUGUUCGCCAUUUAAAGUGGUACGCGAGCUGGGUUUAGAACGUCGUGAGACAGUUCGGUCCCUAUCUGCCGUGGGCGCUGGAGAACUGAGGGGGGCUGCUCCUAGUACGAGAGGACCGGAGUGGACGCAUCACUGGUGUUCGGGUUGUCAUGCCAAUGGCACUGCCCGGUAGCUAAAUGCGGAAGAGAUAAGUGCUGAAAGCAUCUAAGCACGAAACUUGCCCCGA
rnacentral:rRNA from 1 species